rnacentral:rRNA from 1 species
AUUGAACGCUGGCGGCAGGCCUAACACAUGCAAGUCGAGCGGAUGAAGGGAGCUUGCUCCUGGAUUCAGCGGCGGACGGGUGAGUAAUGCCUAGGAAUCUGCCUGGUAGUGGGGGAUAACGUCCAGAAACGGGCGCUAAUACCGCAUACGUCCUGAGGGAGAAAGUGGGGGAUCUUCGGACCUCACGCUAUCAGAUGAGCCUAGGUCGGAUUAGCUAGUUGGUGGGGUAAAGGCCUACCAAGGCGACGAUCCGUAACUGGUCUGAGAGGAUGAUCAGUCACACUGGAACUGAGACACGGUCCAGACCCCUACGGGAGGCAGCAGUGGGGAAUAUUGGACAAUGGGCGAAAGCCUGAUCCAGCCAUGCCGCGUGUGUGAAGAAGGUCUUCGGAUUGUAAAGCACUUUAAGUUGGGAGGAAGGGCAGUAAGUUAAUACCUUGCUGUUUUGACGUUACCAACAGAAUAAGCACCGGCUAACUUCGUG